UGUCUAGCAACUCCUAUCCCUACCUCCGCGUGGUACCGGUUGGAAAACAUGAGCAACCUUAGGGAAGAUCGAUUAACCAACCUCGGUGGGAACUUUGGUCGUAGACUGAUAGAGAAGG
rnacentral:ribozyme from 1 species